UACGUAGGGGGCAAGCGUUGUCCGGAUUUAUUGGGCGUAAAGAGCGUGUAGGCGGCCAAGCAGGUCAGCUGUGAAAACUCGAGGCUCAACCUCGAGACGUCGGUUGAAACCGCUUGGCUAGAGUCCGGAAGAGGAGAGUGGAAUUCCCGGUGUAGCGGUGAAAUGCGCAGAUAUCGGGAGGAACACCGGUGGCGAAGGCGGCUACCUGGACAGAAACUGACGCUGAGGCACGAAAGCUAGGGGAGCAAACAGG
rnacentral:rRNA from 1 species